rnacentral:rRNA from 1 species
AUGGGAACGCGAAGAACCUUACCUAGACUUGACAUCUUCUGCAUUAAUCGUAAUGGAUGAAAUCCCUUCGGGGACAGAAUGACAGGUGGUGCAUGGUUGUCGUCAGCUCGUGUCGUGAGAUGUUGGGUUAAGUCCCGCAACGAGCGCAACCCCUAUUAUUAGUUGCUAACAUUAAGUUGAGCACUCUAGUGAGACUGCCCGGGUUAACCGGGAGGAAGGUGGGGAUGACGUCAAAUCAUCAUGCCCCUUAUGUCUAGGGCUACACACGUGCUACAAUGGUGGGAACAAAGAGAUGCAAUACCGCAAGGUGGAGCUAAACUCAAAACCCCAUCCCAGUUCGGAUUGUAGGCUGAAACUCGCCUACAUGAAGCUGGAGUUGCUAGUAAUCGCGAAUCAGAAUGUCGCGGUGAAUACGUU